rnacentral:rRNA from 1 species
AGGAUGAACGCUAGCGGCAGGCUUAAUACAUGCAAGUCGAGGGGCAGCAGGGUGUAGCAAUACAUCGCUGGCGACCGGCAAACGGGUGAGGAACACGUGCGCAACCUCCCUUCAAGUGAGGAAUAGCCCAGGGAAACUUGGAUUAAUACCUCGUAACAUUAUGAGAUGGCAUCAUUUUAUAAUUAAGUUCCGACGCUUGAAGAUGGGCGUGCGUCUGAUUAGGUAGUUGGCGGAGUAACAGCCCACAAGCCUGCGAUCAGUAACUGGUGUGAGAGCACGACCAGUCACACGGGCACUGAGACCACGGGCCCAUCCGUAGGGAGCAGCAGUAAGGAAUAUUGGCAAUGGACGCAAGUCUAGAACCAGCCAUGCCGACGUGGAAGGAUGAAGUCCUCGUGGAUUUGUUAAACUUUCGUUUUUAAGUUUACGGGAAA